CCUGGAGGAGUCUUUUCCAGAACAUCCAUAUGCUGCAUAGCAUGGACUGCUGCCACUUUGAGUGAUAUGAUCCCUUUCCAUUGCUGGCAAGAUGACUCUCCCAAACAUUACGACUGACUUGUCUCAUGUGCCCUUCUGUGCAUGCCUGUGUGCACACAUAACACACGUAUACAUACAAUGCAUGGAAUGAAAUCAUCUUUUUUUAUGUUUUCCAAGAGUAUUUGAAAGCUUAACCUGCAUGUGAAUAAAAGUCAACCGAUCUUUGUCCAUUUUGUUUUCAUAGGGUUUCCCUGGUCCUCGAGGAGAAAAGGGUGAUAUAGGAGAAAAGGGAGAAAAGGGAUUCCGUGGAAUUAAGGGGGAAAAAGGGGAGCCAGGCCAGCCUGGCCUGGAUGGGCUGGAUGCCCCUUGCCAAUUGGGUCCCGAUGGAUUACCAAUGCCUGGCUGUUGGCAAAAGUGAUGAAUCUAACCUUACGAGCAUGAAGUUGUGUAUAUAGUGCUCCACUUUUUGUAUUUAUAGUUGAAAACUGAAAAUUUUAUUUUACAAGUCUGAGAUAUGUUUACAUGUAGCUGCUUCUACUUGUUUGCAAUAGUCCAUGUGUACAUCCUUUUUUCACUUACGUCUGCAGUUAGAUGAUAAUAUAACUGCAGGGUAAACCUGCAAAGGUUCUCUCUCUAAUGAGAGAGAUCUCGAUACAACGAUCAAGAAUAGAAAUCUGAUUAUUUCUGUAAAUUCUUAUAUUUGGGCUUGUGGACCUGCAUGGACAAUGAGUGCCAUGAACUAGUUUACAAGAAAAUUGUGACCAAAUAAGAGCAAAAUGCUAUGAAAUGUACUGUACCAGCUGCCAUUGGUUGGAGUUUACUGACUUGGCUUCCAUGUCCAUCUUAAAACCCUUCACUGUUCCGUGCCACCAUAUGUGCUUGUGUGGACUAAAAGCAUGAGUCUGUGCCAAACACGCUUGUUGUGCGAUCGCGUCACGCGCUACAUGCCUGCUCACGGGGAACUCUGAUUCCAGCUUCUGAAUCCUUUCCUUUUGUCAUCUCAAGGGAGUCACACCAUGGCUUAUUGCUAAAAAGAGAUAAACCAGAGGAGGAUAGAAAGAGGCCUUGAAAUUUUUUGGGGGAUAGAGUUCCAGCUGCAGGUGGAUGGCUUCC